GUGACCUCAGCGGUAAGAAACUAAACAAUGAAACACAUCCCAAGUGAAAAUUGCGUUUUUAUGUGUUCAUUUUUGUUUUAUGAUACUUAUUAAAACCCUAGAGUGGACAAAAAUAGCAAGAACAUCGUCUAAUGUCGGCGUGUGGUCUGAGGCCUGUUGACCCCCUUCAUACUAAUGUGUUCACUCAGGUGAGUUAGCUAACGGUAGCACGAAGCUAACAAGCGGACGUUAGCUGAUGAGUAAACAUAUUUAACACUUGUCUGGUGUAUCAGAGAAACUCCUAUUAAAGUGUUAAGGUUCUUUUCUGCACUAUUAUUAUGUUAAUUGCUACAGCCAGUCUAUACUAUAUAAAAAUAUGUGUUUAACUUUAAAAAGGUGCAUCAGUGACAAACACACAACUGGUUUAAAGAGUACUUUUAUCUUGGCUUUGUUCACAGAUCAGGCUUUUUGAUGGAGUCGGAGCCUUUUAAGAUGGAGCAAGUCUGGUUGAGAUCCCUGUACCCACAGAGGAGGAUUUACAGCCCAGAGAGGUUUUCAGAGUUUCCAGAGAGAGACUUCUCUUGGACUGGAUGAAGAGGUGAACCAGAAGAGAUACAAGGUAGGACUGAAUUGUUUACACAAAUGCACACGCUCAGUACUAGAGAUGUCAAACCAGACUUUAUUCAUACUAUUCCUGCAAUGGAACAGUAAUAAUAAAUGAUACCUACAAAGUACUUAAGAUUUUUAUUGCAUUAUUUUGUCAUACAAAGCAUUAAAGCACCUGUAACUUCCAUAUGAGCCUUGUUGCGGUCGUGGUAAAGUGGUAGAGUUGUGGUCUCUCUAUUAAAUGUUGGGGUUUCUGUUCCAAUCUUGCUGUCCCCAUGUUAAGGUGUCCUUGUCCUUGAUGUGUCAGUUUACCGCAGGCGCUGGAGAUGAAGAGAGAUGGAUAAAUUAUAGUAAAUGCUUACAGGACAGAAGUUACCUGACUUUUACUCAGAUAUGUAAGGUGUGUAGAUCUCUUGCUGAUUGGAUGAGUGUUGUGUUCUGUAGCUGGCAAUAGCUCUUGGUGGAUAAACAACAAUGUAGUAGAGUCUUUAUUCAGGGUAAGAGUCUUUGAAGGACCUGGCCUCCUAAGUAUUCACCUAUGAUGCCUCCCCUAAAGAAGUGAGGCUGUACUGAGUCUGUCUUUUUAACCGUUUGUAAGUUGGUGUUCCUUUGAGUUGAAACCAGGAACUUGUUUUGGGCACUCUUUGCAUCUAAGGGAAGCAGGUUGCAGUUAAUGGACACAUUUUGAAGAGCUGUCAGAAUGAGACAGCCUUUGACAUGCUGUUGCUAUGACACCAUCUUUCUCUGAUUCCUCCUUUAAAGGAUGAAACCCUUAAAUAGGGAAACAUCUGUUGUUUUUUUGUUUUGCUUGUUUUAAAUGAUGGUGUAUUUGCUGAAGAUAGAUAUGAAGUGUCACAAAAACAAUUCAUAUGACUCUCAAUGUACAGUAUCCUAAGUGUUGGUCAUGUAGGCAUGAGGCUGCACAUUUUCCCACCAACAGCCCAGUUUGCCUGCAGUGAUUAUACCCCAGGCUAAUGUAUUGAUGACUCACCAAUGUAAAAAUGCUUAUGUAGCACUUUUAAUCCAAAGUGCUGUUGCAGCUCACUGAGAAACUAGAUCCUUGUCUGACUCUAUAUUCAGCAAGUGUCGUAGCACUUAUGAUUACUAAACAAUAGCCCUCAUAAAUCACAAAAGGUUAAAUUUGGGUAAUAUUCAUUAAUAGAGCGCCACUCUGCUUGGCUUGUUUAGGUUUCCUGCAUGAUUCAUCAAAAUAACAGCUGUUUGGUUAAUGGUUUAAAUUGGAUAAUCAGUCAUAUCACUUUGCCACGCCUCUGUUGACAUUAAAGUCUCGAUGGGGCAAUUUUUCAGCUUGAUGAUUAAUUUCGUCAUGCAGACAAAUUAGGAGAACUUUCUUAAAUUUGUAACUCUUAUUGAAAACGACUGCACUUUAUUGCACAAUGGAUCUGAUCUUGAUGCAUAUGCACCUCAUACCAUUUGUUAUCCAGAGAAAACGGGAAAGGUUCCACUGUAAAUAUGGAUUGCAGGUCUUAUUUUUCAUAAUUGGAGUCAAGUUGAUGUUUGGAGUUUGAGAGAGACCACCUGGGCAAGACGUUUAUAAUCAGAGAAAAGGUUUCCCAACCCAGUGCACAACUAAUAUUUCAAAUCUCCCAACCCCGAACAUGCUCUGUGCCAGGAUAUCAAAGCAGCAAUAACUCAUAUGUAGAAAGGGAUGUGAGAACUUCCACAUGGCCUUAGGGCUCUAAGUAGAGGAGUUGCCUUUCCCUAAAUGUCAACAAGCCGUGUAUGUAUGUGAAAGAAAGACAAACAGAGAGGAAAAGAUGCUGGAAAAUUUCUUCAGGAGAAAUUUGGAAGUGAGGGAAGUCAAAGGUUUCUCCAAGAUUCCUCAAAAUAUUGGAUCAAAAUUUUGGAACUUUUAAUAGGAUAAACUUCAAGAAUGUUCUCACAUAUUAAGGCCCUGGAACCUGGGUUAACAUCAUUUAUACUGCCACCCUCGAGAGAGAGCCCUGCAUUCAAGUUACAGACCAGUUUAGCAACCAGACUCUCUUACUACAGCCAUGCUGUUAUUUGGCAGUGCUUUGCUCUAACAUGUAAGGUCUUCCCUGAUGAAGACAUGAUCUGGAUGGCAGCAUUUGUUGUCAUUACAUGUGUCUAUAAUCUUAAAGAGAAAUUUUGUCUUUAUAUAUGUGUAAACAACCCACAGGCAUUUUUACAUCCUCAUAGCAUCACAGAGACAGGCCUCUGAACCGUGUUCUGAUAACAAGCUUGUGUGUCCCUCUCCUCUUUAGAGUGAAGGAAGAGGUGUCUAUGGUUUCCAAAAAGAAUUAAGUUUUAAUUCAAAUCACAGACCCAGAGACCCAGAGAAGUUUAUGUGUCUCUGGAUCAUGGCAUAUCUACAAACCGUGGAUUUGGAAACUGUGAUUUUGAGCCCGUUCUGUGAGUCCCACUAUAGCCAUGUCUGAUUUUAAUGUGUUGCUGUUUAGGGGCUGACAACCAUGGCCACCCGGUAUUAGUUCAUGGUCUUGUUCCUUUUUGUGCAGAGAUUUCUUCAGAUUCUUUGAAUCUCUUUAUGAUAUUUCUCUGAAAUUGUUUUCUCAAACAGUCUCUCACAGAGUAGUGAACCUGUUCCCAUUCUGACUUCUAAGAAACUCAACCUCCUAUUAAAUGCUCUUUUCACACCCAUUCAUGUAACCAACCUGUUGUAUCUGUACUCUAGUGUUUGAGUCAUUGUUCAGUUUCAAAUAUGCUCUGGUAAAAAAAGGGCAAAUUAAGCAAACAGCUAAAAUGCCUCAAGUAAUCCGAAAUGAAAUGGUCUGAAAAAAAGAUGAGCGAAACCCUUUUUGGCGUGUUUCCAUCACACAAAAGACUUGAGCGUAGAAAAACACGUGUCCUUUUUCCUCAGCCAUGUAGUGGGUAUGAUAGUUCAUCAAGCAGACAAGUGAAAACACAGAGAGGUGUGUGUUUCCUCGCACUGCCUGAAGCUUUAAGUUUGACCUUCUCCCUCUCACCUUCUCCGUCUCUCUCCUCUGCCCCGGGGCACCGCCGAGUGGGCCUAUGGGAGGAGCAGGCGAGGGGGCCCCUGGCAUCACCCAUACCUAGACUCCAAAAAAGAAACAAAAAUCUUAAAGGAUGAUGGCUAGCCUUGACGUGGUUGAGACAGUGUUCGGGUGAGGAGAAAUGAGGUAAAUAUCAAUGGCGGUGGUCUCACAUAGCCCAUUAGUCAAUGUCUGCAGUCGCUGUCUGAGUAUCAGCACAGAGCAGCCGCAGGGUUCACACCACCUCCACUGUCCUCCCCAAGAAUCGUACCCAGGCGAAAAUAAAGCAACCCGAGCUGGGCAUAAAUCAUUAGGAACAUUUGUUACCUCGGGUAAUUGUGCUUCAUUCAUCUUCAGGCCUUUUUUCCAUUUGUCAACUCCCAAAGGUUGCUGGGUGUCAGCUGUGCAGGUCUGUGCUGUAGGUUAGCAUGAUGGGGCCUAACCAGAGCCACAGCAGAGGAGGUCUGCAGGAAGCAUGAUACAUGACACAGGAGAGUAGAAGAAACUAGGCCACUAUGCAGACCCCUCUGUGCAGACUGUGAUGCAAAUGUUGGUCUGCUGAUGCAUCUUUGAAAGUGUACCUGUAGGAUCAGCUCAGUGACACACGUUGGACUUAUGUGAAUUUUGUUAUACUGAGAAACUUUUCAUUCAACUUUUUGAUAACUUUAUAUACAGUAUGUAAAAUGUCAGGGUUUGUCUCUAUGUAGCAAGCUAAGAAAGGAUUAGGAUGGGUUACUAAUAUAAACACAAGACAUAUCUUUGUGGUUCAGAAGUAGAGUGGUUCAGUCAGGAGCCUUUCCUGGUCAUCUUGGCAAAGAAACAGAACCUUAUUGUUUCUAAAGGCACGGUCUUAGGUGGAUCAGUCCCUGUGAAUGGUUGAAAGGCACCAGCAAUGUUGAUUUUGGCAUGAAAUUUAGUUUUAGGACAGCUAUUUUCAUAAAACUCAGGCUGAUUUGAGUCAUAUUGUUUUCUUUGUAUUGUUUGUUUUUGUGCUUCAGUUGUUUUGACAUUCAAAGUGUGUUUCCUCCCAUUUUACAUCCAAAAAACACUCUUUUGUAAUCGGGGAUGAUGCACUCAGUUACUUCAUCUUCCUUCCUUCAUACUGUACUGGUAGUAGGUUGUAGGAUGACAUCUGUCAGCAGUAGCUUUGUUAGGCUUUUUAUAAGAUGGCUAAUAGCCAGUUAGUUCUGGCUUACCACCAGAAACUGUAAAUAGACUUCUUACCAACAUACUGGGCAAAAAAAUCAUCCAACGACAAUGAAGGAGAUAAAUCGGAGGUAGUUGGAAUUUGUACUAGUGCACCUGCUGCAGAUAAGUGAUGGUUUAGAAGGAAAACAAACAGUGAUGUGGCUUUUCCUUGCUGACUUUAUCAUUGUACGUCAGAGCAGUAAUGAACAGUGCUUGUGCCAUUUUUAAAAUUGUAAAUAUGCUUGGUCAUGAUAAUCAUAAAGUUAAUAAAUACCACAACUAUCCCCCUUGAGCUGCUUCACUUUUAGCAAGUAAUUACCCACCCUGUUCUUCCUCUUAAACACACAGAGAGUGCUCUGUUGUCUAUGAAUAUCAUUACAGAAUACCAAAAAUGCCUUUUGAUAUGAAGCUGGCGAGAAAAGCAGUUCAGCCAAUUUGUGGCUAAACACACCCUGAAACGCAGACAGAGGAACAGCAGACCGAGCUCAGGCUGGGGGUGUGUUCAAAUGUGCAUUGUGAUCCACUCUUUAGGAAGGCAUCUAUUAACACCAGUUGUAACCUUGCUGCCUUGAAACCUGUCUUCAGCUGUUAGCACCCUGCCACCUCCAUUCACCUCAGUGACACACACGCGUCUUUCACACAUCAUCCUCUGGAACACACACACACACACACUCACACUUACACACUCACACACUUUGAUUUAUGUACAGAUAUAAAAGCACCAAGAGCACUCUCUCUAACAAAAGGCAAUCUCGGCUCUCUUGAUGUUCCUGUGGGUUUUUCCCUUUGAAAUACUCCACUGCACCAGUUUUCACAACUAAGUAACACAGCAGGACAAUGAGACACCAUAUAAAGAAAAAGAGGAUCAUGAAUAAAGGAGAAGCAGGGAAGGAGAAAACCUUGAAGAAGAUCCAUAAAAUGAGGGAGUGUUAGAUAUAGUACACCAUCCCCUCCAAAUGAUACAUGAAUUUCUGAUAUAUCUCAACCAGUCUGAAUAAUUUAUGUGAGCAAUGAUUUGAAGUCUGAAGGACCACAUCCAGGAAGAAAUUUUACAUGAAGACAAAUUGACAAGAGUGAAACUAAGCGCACUGCAAUGUGCUGCUGUCAGUCAAAGCUGAAAUAAAUUUGAGAAAAUUCAAUAACUGUAGGUCAGCAGUGCUGCAAUAUUACAUUUAACACCAGCAAAAGAUGGCUGUGCUCUAAGCAGUCUCAAAUCAGCUAAACGUUAUAAUGUUCAAACAGUGUUUUUGUAUCAAAACAGUAUCUUUAAAUUUGAGCUCAUUACUCUUGUUAGGCCUGAAAUCAAUUAAUAGAUCAAUCAGUUAGUUUUUAUUGAUAUAGUACCAAAUCAUAACUAUUAUUGUGUCAAGAUGCUUUCCAAGAGAGCAGACCAUACUUUUUGUCUGAUCAUAGAUCACAUGACCACUCUGAGUACACAACCAGGCCUCGACAUUCCCUCAUUAUAUAAAGUGAUUAGCUAAUAACAGCAAUAUAAGAUUCAAUAAUUGCUGACACAUGUAAGGUCGCUAUCAUCCGGGAUAAAACAUGCAAGCUAUCUGCUGCAAAUCUGGGCUACAGGGGCGUGUCUAGACUGUUGUUUGGGUGGCUCUGUUGUGGCAUUGCCAAAGCAAUCGAGACCAGGGUGCUGUGUGCACACCAAAUUUACUCCCUUUUUCUCCUUUUUUCCUUCACUGUCUGCUUGAACAACCUUUUUUACAGAUAACUUGAUAACUGAUACAUCCUCGUGCACAUCCUCUAAGCUUAGUUCUUUAAGGACCUGAAAAAAGUUUGACCAAAGUCACAUUUGAAGAUGCUUAUAAAAGAAAAUGUGCAUCAAAUACAAAGAAAGUUGCAGCCAGCUUGCUAAUUGAGUAGUUUACUUAACCACCAUAACCACCUCUGAUGAGUCAUAUAGCCAAUCAUAUCUUAGGGUUUUGGUGUAGUACCUGGAAUGGCUAAUUAAAUCACAGAGAAGGGGGCAGUGGCACCACUGGGUAGCCUUCGGGACAUACCCCAGUGAUAUUGUCUAUUUUUGUCUAAAAUAGUGAAAUGAUGGCAGUGUGAGGGAUUAUGGAGGAUAAUCAAAUGUAGGGGGUUCAAUCCCACAUGCCUAAAUGUUCUUGGGCAUGACCCUUCACCCCAACCAGGCAAAAAUACCUCUGCCUUUUGUGUGUUUAUGUGGAGUGAACAGUUGAAUGUGACGUGUAUUAUAAAAGUGCUUUGAGAAAACUUCAGGAAGCAGAAAUUGACAAAAGCUUUAGUCAGAAAAUUUGAGAUGUGUGAUGAAGAGAAACAGAGAGAGGGGGAUACAUCCAGGGAGGUUUUUUUUUAGCUCAUCUGAGAGCUGCACGAAUGGCUGGGUGGCUGCUGCUGACAGGUGAGGAUGUCUUUAAUCAACAGCUGCUAGGAAGCUACUGAAGAUAUGAGGACAGAUAACACAGGCAGGCUGCACAAACGACCAGGGAAAAGAGAGAGAGAGAGAGAGAGAAAAACCACAGACAAAGGUGUGCGAACAGCCACAGCCACAUUCUCAGCCUGCAAACACCCUGUCACCACUUCCAGUCUCACCUCCUCCCACACACACUUAUCUCCCCAAAAUCUGAAGGAGGCGGAUGCUCUGAAGAUCUAGACACCACCCGCUCCAACAUAAUUAGCAGAAGACGUGCAGCCAGCCGUUGCCCGAGCUCACUAACACUCGUUUGGUCCCAAAACAAACACACUAGUGAUCUAGAACAAACAAAGAUAAUGCCCUCCAGCCUCUUCUCAGGAACUUGUCACACAGUCCCGACCGCUUGGUAAAGGAAUUUUAUUAUUGAGUUGGAUCAAAUGGAUACAAGAUGACACACAAACAACAGACAAAUGCAAGCAUGCAUACCUCACCGAUGUUAUUAAUUCAUACAUGAUUAUUGUUUUGUUUCCUGGUAUCUCAUUCUUUAAGAUGGGGCGUAUAGGUGAUGCAAGACAAAGCUUUCUGUCAUCCGGCCAUAUGAGCACCUAUCCAAGCUGGCCGCAGUACAGAUAACAGGCGCAACUGCAAUACCAGUCCCCAGGGAAACAGCUUUAUUUUGGCGCACAGGUAGCAGAGGGAGGGAGAAGCUGCGGGUCAGCAUCCUGCUUCUAAACCUGGAAGAGGAAACUAAUCCGAGGUCAAGGAGGGCCAUGGCGUUGAGUGAAACUUCACAUGAGGAUGGAGUAUUUAAAGUGUACUCCCCUCUCCCUGACUCCGCCGUCUUCAUUAUAACUCUGCACCUGGGCCGAACACUGAUCCAUGGGGAACUCCCUCAUGGCCACAGCCAGUCAGGCCCCUAAAUCUGUCCCCAGCCCCUCAUUCACUUCCCACUUAUCCCUCCUUCCUCCCGUACUCUUCCUUCUCUGCAGCGUUGGGUCAAGCUCAGAGCAACAAUACUGAGCCGGUGAGGACAGGAAAGGGAUGAGGUGGGAUUAGGGAGAUAAGUGAGGGUCGAAAUAGCCUUGGAAAAAUGAUAACUCUGGUCCCUGUUUGUUACUCUCACAAUCAAUAAUGGGACGUAAUCAGAGACAUUUUCAACACUUCUCCUGGGUUUCAGGAUCCCAGUUGCCCGUUGUCAUCCGGUGUUGAGAGGGUGACAUGGGCCUGGACCCAGCUAGCACCUGCCAACAAGCUUCUGUGGGUGUCCAUCUCACACACAGACGUGACACAGUUCUCAGACUUUGAGACAAAACUGCGAGUCCUUAAAGACAUGGAAUAGAAAACGUUCAUGGCUGCCCCUCUGUGUUUAAGUAAUGGCGUUUUGUCGUACAUGUCUGUAAUGAAAAGCUGUGCGGUAUCUGACCCUGUUCACUCUCAGGCUGCAGAACUAAAAACCUAUUUGUCUGUUGAAACCUAAAGGUUGCCCUGCAGACUUUUCCUGUAAACAAACAGAGUUGCUGUUUACAUAUAGUGUUUCUCACCAAAACACAUUGUGUGUGUUCUUAACAAAUUUGUGUAAUGCAUUUCCUCUGGCAGAAAAACAUUUGCAGAGCUGAAUUUUUUUAAAGUGGGAAGCCUGCGUGGUUUAAAACCCUUCAGACUGUCUUCACUAAAAAAUAAGAGUGAAAGACUGUAUUUCUUGGUUAUCACUGAAACAGUGAUGUUUUUGGCAGAAAUGUGUGUCUCAUUAUUUUAAUGUGUUUGCCCAAAGCAGCAGCAAAAUUUAAAGAUUAAAAUCAGUGCAUAUUACGAAAACCUGCAGGUCUUAAAAUGUCCAAACAGCCUCUAUCUCUAUUCGUUUACACUGUGGGGGUGGUGAAUCCUUCAUAACUCGCUUGUUUAUUAGAUAUUAAGGCAUGAAGAGGAUAAUAAGGAGCACAGCUAGCUUGACUGGCAGUUUGGCAAACUACAGCUGUUUCUCGAAGGCUAUAGGCCCACCGCAACUCUGCCCCCUCCACUCUUGCUAAGUUGACAAAAGUUUGAAUUGGCAUUUGCAAUAAUGCAACUGCCAUGUCUGAACUUCUAAACUCUGCUUUCGGAGCUUAUGGUGAUGUCAUAGAAACCACUCUCAUGUUUUAAACAGUCUGUGGUUUGUAAAUGGGGCUAAAUAAAUGACUAGUAACUGAAAAAAAAACUCUGUAUAUCUGCGUCUGUUCAAAAACUUUACAGUUUACGUCUGUUAUGAAUGCAUUUGACUGUCGUGUAUGAGAUAUAGGAAUUUUCUGUAUUAGUAUCUGCUGACAUUGUAUGUUAAUUGUUUCAGUAAAUAAAGCAUAAUAGUUUUUUGAGAUGGAAUUGAUUUCUAGGUAUAGCUUUUAUUAAAGUAAUCAUUUCAACUAGUAAGGGAUAAUGUAUAGUGAGCGGGUUGUUAUGUGAAUUGAAAGUCCAGCAGAAAAAGCAGAGUCUCAGAUGAAAAGCAGAGAGGUCUCGUUGCACCUUAUUGAUUUAAAAAUGAUUUAUUUAUACAGCCAAAGUUUCCUGGUCUGUCAUUUUUCCCUUGUUUUUUUCUCUAAUACAACUUUUGCACUCUUUGCUUGCAUGAAAAUAUUGGACUGACAAAUCUAAUAUCCAGAUGAGCCUGAGGCGUGGGUAUUUAUUAUGAAGCAUUACAAACAGCUCGUGAUUAUUUGUGCUACGGUGGUGUGAUGAAUAUUGUUUAACUGCCUUUUUAUAAGUAUGUCUGCAGGCCCGUGCCAUAUGUUGUGCCAGAGUGUUUACACCGAGAGCUAUUCCCACUGAGUCACUCUCCUCAGCCAGCCAGGCCAGCAGUGGCGUCAUGCAGCUGCUCCAGCCUCAGCCCCGGUCUGGAUCUGUGUUAUUGUUUCUGGGAGCAUUACCACGCUUAAGUGCGACAACAUAAUUUGUAACAAUAAGAAGAAAUUUGCCCGAUGCCAUCUGUGCACGGCAUGUACCUAUAGCGCUGUGAGCAGAGAGAAAGUGACACAUACACACAUGCACAUUCAGAGGGAGAACAAGGCUGCACCUAAAACACACGCUAGACCAACGUCUCACUACAGUUUGUCUUCCAAACACAGGCAGGCUCAGAUUUCAGGUCCUCUGGUCUCCAAAAUAUAUAUCGAAGUACACAUCAGGCUGUGUGUCACCGCUGUUUACAGGAAAGUGAUUUAUGAGGCUUUUUGGGGAGAGUAGAGAAGGCUGAUAUGGGCUGAAUAUGUUUCAGAGUGAGGCUGAGAGGAAGUCAAGCUACUGUGGUUAUUGAAUAAUCACCCGAAAAGUCAUUAAUGAGGUUAUUUAUCCGAGAGAAAAACUUGAGACAGCUACGAUUUUUGUGUCAAUCAAGAUACACAAACAUGUCAAAGAGCCAUUAGUGAAUUAGUCUCAGCAGUUACAUUUUUCUCUAGUGGUUUUUGGCUUGUGAAACCUCCUAUAAUGCUUGAGUAAAUGCCAGGCAUAACUGCAUGUGUGUAAGAUAAACAUAGUAUGCAUUUUGUCAAAUAUAGCAACCCUACCAGACAGUGGAAGAUCUAUGUUCCUCUGCACUGCCUUUUUAUGACAGGCCCUUUGUGUUGGACUCUACACACGACAACUAGUCCAACUGGUACAGCUCCAUUUUUAUUUAGACUUAACGCUUGAAUCCAUGCGUGUGUGCGGAGCAGGUUUGAAUCCUUGCACAUGCAGUACACAGUGUGACAUUGCACACAUGCAUACUUCACAGGCCCCCCAACUGUGUAUUCUCAAAACACUGACUUCUGUGGCAAAUAUGCCAUGAUGAAGGCAUGGUGGUGUAUUGUUAGGAGAUAGAGAUAGAAGGAGAGAUAAAACCCUUUUUACAGGAAGUAGAAAACAACUCCACUCAAAGUCUAGUAGAUAUAAGGGCACGCAGCUUUUCACAAGCAGGGGUGACAAAUUAGACCCUCAGACUUUUGAAGUUAAAAAUUUAUCUGAUGAAAAACAGAGUUCUGUGAGAAAAAAGGGGCAAUGACUAAUGAUGAAGAUUAGAUUUUUGAUAACGUAGCAAAUAGUUUGGAAACUAGAUCUGCCAGGGUAUCAGAUUUGUACCUCACAAUUAUUGUGGCCAUGAAAUAUCACAAAAACAAGAUUAUCUUAAUGUUUACAGAAAAUUUAAAAAACUAACACAUUCAAUAACAAUAUGGAAAAGCAAGACAAGGGUGGAGCGACACAUAAAUGUUAUGUUGUCAUCCAUUUUAAAGGAUGUUUAGAUUUAGGAUUUGUCCACAUCAAAUGUUACCGCAUCAAACAACUUUGGGUCAUGCUUUUAUUUUGAAAUUUUCUGUCUUGCAUUUAGGUUGCCUUAUUGCCUCUUGUAGAGUAAGUUACUGAACUGAAUGAGAACAGUUAAACGAACGUUAAAGUAUGAAUGUUCAACUGAUUGGUAAACCCAAGAAGGCAAAAGCUCUAAGAUCAUUUGAACAUCAGCAUUUAAAAUCAUCUCUCAAAGUGCUGCUAUAGCUUGCCUGCUGACAGUUGUUACUUCUUCUUCUAUGAUACCACUGAUGAACUCAGUAUUAGAUGUAAAUGGCUCCAUGCUCUGGGAAACACAGCAAAUACUGACAUGACAAACUUGCUGGUCAUAAAAAUGUGACUGUGGUUUGCUUCAUCGUCCAUGAAGUUGUCUUCAAGUUAACCAGGGCCUUCAUGGAUCUACAUGUGGUCAUAACACACUCACUCUGUCUUGUUGUAAUAUGAGGGUGAGAAGACGUGUAGAUCAGCAGGCCGGCUUCAGGGGAAACUUCUCGAAUCAUAUAAUUUUCAUUCAGUUUUUUUAUUCUUUCCUCCAAAAAAUGCUUAAGCAGAAGUAGGGAUUUGUCUAGAAACAGCCUUGAAUGUUCCAGUAUAACCCCCAAGUCUGUGCUAUCAUGGGAACACAGGGUUUAUGCAUUGCAGAAAUUUGUAGACAAAUACAGAAUAUGUCAGUGAAGUUUUAAUGGUUUAAAACUCUUAAUCCAAUUUAUUUAAUUCAAAAUAAACACCAAGAUAGUUGGAUAUUUCAAUCAGACCUUAAAUUGUUUUAUUUGUGCGAGGACAUGAAAACCUCUAAACCUCAGAGUCCACUAACACUCUGCUGAAGUUGUGCUUCGCAUUGUGCUCAAACCAGCACCAUGUGUCAGCGUGUUCCCUGGUAGCAUGUUGGCAUGUCAUCGGUACCAUCAGGACAAAUUUAACUUGAUUUAUUGUUCUUGGCGAUUAAAGCAAUUUGGAUUCUGAUAAUGAGUUUGAUGAGGGUCAAACUGUGUGCAGAACAAUAAGAGCCACAUGUGCCUCAAUGCAGUUACAAACCACAUGAAACAGAGGGAGGUGGAGUUGAGAGGAGGAGCAGGGAGCCAAUUCAAUCCAGAUACGUCCAGAUUCAAACAUUCAGCGGAAGGUGGCCCGGGCUCAAACACCAAACGACCACCCCAAAGCCACCCUGUGGUCUCACCAAAGACAAAUGAGCUGCUCAGGCUCAGUGGCAUCAAAUAGAUCCAGUUUCAGAAUAGCUUGGUCUUCCUCUGCCUUGGGUUAGAGAUUUAACAGUUAAGAUGUACACUUCCUACUCCCAAGUAUGCAAGGAAUUUGAGCGAAGAAGGAAAAGAGCGUGAGGGGAAAAAAAUCAAAUCAAUCCAUCGUUUCGUGUGUGCUUUGGCAUCGGAAGAAUAGUCUUUUUUAACCAUAGUGUGAGAUGGAGAAAGAGGUAUAAUGGUGGGAGUGUGGUGUUUAUUGGUUUCUGCCAAGCCAGUCAGAGAAGCAAACACACAAGCAGAGUGAAACCUGAUCGACUGGCACGCUGCCUGGACCAGCGGCAGCGCGGUGCAGCGUCAGGGGAAAAACACUGACAAACAUACAUAAGCACAGGACCCAGGUCUCCAAAUAAUCAUAAGAUGAGCAGGCCAGAUAAAAAAAAGACCCCAAACACUCCAGGGAAUUUAAAAAUGUCUGAGCAUGUUUUAUGACAAAGAUUCAGCACCGAGGAUCUACGUGAAAGUCUGACUGAGGAUGACUUUUAAGCGUCUCCUUGGAUGAGGGGAAGUUUUCCGAUUGAAGUCUACUAAUUCCAUCCCCUUGAUCCCAUCCCACUUCGCUUUCCUAACCCCCUCCAACACACACAUACACACAGACAAAUACACACUCUGGCCCAGCAGGAAAAUCCCUCUGUGGCCAGGCGUUUCUUUUUAACUUGAUAUGCUUGUGAAUCACCCCCAGUGCUGCAGUGCUGCUCCACUAAUGAACACAGGGCCCACAGACGGAGAUGUCCAUGCCCUGCUACGCUCCUCCAUCACACUGGAAAACAGGAUCCAGCUGCCCAGCACCCUGUCAUUAUGGGGAAAAAACACCCAGAACACCCUCUGCUUGCCCCUAGACUCGUCUCAUCCCCUGACCACAUCUUAUACUCAACCGACUUAACCUUAGUAACCUGCCUCCACCUUCAACCCUGCCCCAGCUGCAGCAAUAACCAGCAUCACACAUUAAUUUAUUCUCUUGAUCACUUGUUUUUAUUGAGACACCACAGCCAUGCUGCCCCACUUCCUUUAGCAUCACGCCACAUUUUUAAGUUUUUGCUCUGUGGAUUGAGAAGCAACUUGAAACCAAAAUCCACAAAAGCCUUUGACUAGAUAAUUUAGGGUUACAGAAGCAUUAGAAAUUAGUCUAGAUAAAAUCUGUCGCUUGAGUUUCUUGGAAGCUUCCCUGUUAUUGGGUUUGGAUCAGGCCCGGACAAAUCCAAAUAUUAGUGGUGAAAAGUAACUGAAUUAAGCAUUAAAUGUCUCAAGAAAUAAAUCAAGAAGUUUUGCCUUCUUCAUUGGCCGCCAUUUUUACUCCUGACAAUCAUUAACAAGCCUCUCUGCACAGUCAGCCAUGACUCCAAAAUUGACAAAUGACGAGGCCAAAAUGUUCAAGAACCUCCCCCUGAAUAAUUGCAGAAUCAAAAUCACUUCAAACAUUAAUGCUGUUGGUUUUAUUACAACAAUCAGCUGGGAAAAUAAGCUUUUUACAUAAUUGUUGAUAGAAAGAAAUGAGUGAUGCACCGGGUCAGGGGAAAUAAAAGUUUUAAAGUAAUCUGGUGCCUUUCAAGGAUAAGGGGCUAAAGGUCAAUUGGAACUGUCUACUUAUAAACAGGAUGAGAUCAGGAAGGAGAUUUGAGGACAAAUAGUUCCUCAUGGAAGCUUCACAGAGAUAGUCAGCUUGUAUGACUUACAUGACGAGCCAUUCUGGGUGCUGGUCAGCUCAGCUCCUUUAAUAAGAAACUGCGAGGAGAGCCAGUUUGCAAGCUAGGCUACAGUUCUCUGCAGUCAGGGUUGAGUCAGCCUUGUAAUUUACCACAUUGAAGAGACUCUAAUCCAAGCACUCUUCUCAGUUUAAGGGCAUGCUCUACUGAUAACUUUUUUAGCACAUUGACCAAAAAGCUCAUUCAUUUAUGCACAAUUUGCAGAUUCAGCACAUGUCCUUGCACCUGCUCGUGAUUCGUGAUGUGUAACUCAUUCAGCCCCAUUUCAAAAAUACUGAACUCUCCUUUUUAGUGAAUGAUAUCAGUUUGCAAGGCUUCUGCUUCUGGCUUACCAAGUGUCCUGUUUAGGGCUACACGGCAGUGAUUGUGAUGAUGGGGAUGCUCCAUACAAAUUUCAUAUUUAACCUUGUUCAACAAUAACAAUAAAU
rnacentral:lncRNA from 1 species